UGUUUCCUAUUAGGCUUGCCGCGAUAGACUGUGUUUUCGGUUAUACUGGUAUUAAGCCGCAACACCGGUUACGUCAUUUGCCUACCGCGGCACCG